GGGACUACUGGGGUAUCUAAUCCUGUUUGCUCCCCAUGCUUUCGCACCUCAGCGUCAGUGUUAGGCCAGAUGGCUGCCUUCGCCAUCGGUAUUCCUCCAGAUCUCUACGCAUUUCACCGCUACACCUGGAAUUCUACCAUCCUCUCCUACACUCUAGCUAACCAGUAUCGAAUGCAAUUCCCCAGUUGAGCUCGGGGAUUUCACAUCCGACUUAAUUAGCCGCCUACGCGCGCUUUACGCCCAGUAAAUCCGAUUAACGCUUGCACCCUCUGUAUUACCGCGGCGGCUGGCAC
rnacentral:misc_RNA from 1 species